rnacentral:rRNA from 1 species
AGGGUGAAGGGGUUGCAAUAAACUGGUGGCUGCGACUGUUUAAUAAAAACACAGCACUCUGCAAACACGAAAGUGGACGUAUAGGGUGUGACGCCUGCCCGGUGCCGGAAGAUUAAAUGAUGGGGUGCAAGCUCUUGAUUGAAGUCCCGGUAAACGGCGGCCGUAACUAUAACGGUCCUAAGGUAGCGAAAUUCCUUGUCGGGUAAGUUCCGACCUGCACGAAUGGCGUAACGAUGGCCACACUGUCUCCUCCCGAGACUCAGCGAAGUUGAAGUGUUUGUGAUGAUGCAAUCUACCCGCGGCUAGACGGAAAGACCCCAUGAACCUUUACUGUAGCUUUGCAUUGGACUUUGAACCGAUCUGUGUAGGAUAGGUGGGAGGCUAUGAAACCGGAACGCUAGUUUCGGUGGAGCCGUCCUUGAAAUACCACCCUGGUUUGUUUGAGGUUCUAACCUUGGCCCGUGAUCCGGGUCGGGGACAGUGCAUGGUAGGCAGUUUGACUGGGGCGGUCUCCUCCCAAAGCGUAACGGAGGAGUACGAAGGUACGCUAGGUACGGUCGGAAAUCGUGCUGAUAGUGCAAUGGCAUAAGCGUGCUUAACUGCGAGACCGACAAGUCGAGCAGGUGCGAAAGCAGGUCAUAGUGAUCCGGUGGUUCUGUAUGGAAGGGCCAUCGCUCAACGGAUAAAAGGUACUCUGGGGAUAACAGGCUGAUACCGCCCAAGAGUUCAUAUCGACGGCGGUGUUUGGCACCUCGAUGUCGGCUCAUCUCAUCCUGGGGCUGUAGCCGGUCCCAAGGGUAUGGCUGUUCGCCAUUUAAAGAGGUACGUGAGCUGGGUUUAAAACGUCGUGAGACAGUUUGGUCCCUAUCUGCCGUGGGCGUUGGAUAUUUGAAGGGGGCUGCUCCUAGUACGAGAGGACCGGAGUGGACGAACCUCUGGUGUACCGGUUGUCACGCCAGUGGGACC